rnacentral:lncRNA from 1 species
CCAACAAUUUUUCAUAUUCAAACCUCCCAUCUAAUAACCGAACAUAUUCGGUUAAAUCUUUUGUGAGAGUUUAUCAGCUAAGUUCUAAUGAGAAUCAAGUCUAUCCCAUCAAGAGAAUUGUCGGUGGAAAGAGAUCAUGGAGCAUGAACAUACUCCGACAGAAUCAGGAUCUUCAGUUACUUACUCUUUCACGUGAACUCUAAUUCAGCUAAAUUCAUCGAAUCGCUGUGAUGCAUGAUUCGUCAUCAGUAAGUCUUAUUAAGUUAUGAACAUUAAAUUAUUCCGGUGCUUUGAGACUUAUAGCUUACAUUUAGUGUAAGAAUUCAAUUAAGUUGAGAACUUCUUCAAUUCCUCAAUAUCAACGAAUUGGAUUCACAUUUAAAGUGUUAUCCUUAUGUAACUCUGACGAAAUGUCUUCAGCUUUUCAGCUUUGUUAUCGGUAAUCAGUUCAGACCUAGGUACGUUUGAAUUCCUUCAAGCAACUUAAGUUUUUGAAACUUUUAGCUCAUUACCAAACCUGGUCGGAGGAAUUUUUCUGCAGUGAUUUUUGAAUUCCAUAUGUUUUGUUAUUUUGGUUUUUGCCUCUUUUGUUUCUCUGCAACAUGUUAGAUAGAUGUGUGGAACUAGAAACAAUGACAUUCAAUGAGUGAAUUAAACACAUCUUUUGUUUUAGAAUUUUUUUGAUAAUCGAACAAAUUGCUUAGUUUAGAUGCUCAUAUAUAUUUUGAAUUUCAAUUUAGAUCUUAUAAUAAAUAUAAAUAUGUAUUGGUGUCAAUAUCCUAUUUUUUUACAUUAGCAUUGUCAAUGAGUCUAUGUCGUAUCAAAUGCUCAUAUAAGUUUAUCAAUGUGUCUAUUUCAUUUUAUGUGUGGAAGAAUUGUGCUUAUUGAUUGGUGCUUUUUGUUCAUGUACUGAAAGCUUGAAAACUACUUUUGGCUGAUCUUAUUGAUGAUUUUGUUGAAUAGUUGAACCUACACCUGGCGUUGAUUCUGAAGGAAUUGAGGUUGUUAGGGAUUAUUUUAGAUAACAAUAGCGUUCUUAAAACUAUACCACUUAAAUAUAGAUAUAUAGAUAGAGCAAAAGCCUGCAAGUGCAGAGAUCGACAAUGAUGCUGUUAGCCUAUCAUGUAAGCUAAUUAAUUUUCUUCUACCUUGUUUACAUUUCUUUUUGAAUACUUGCCUUAUUCCUUGUUUCUUUGCACUUGUAUUUGUCCAACUCCGCAUAUCAAGAACUCUUAGAAAGUGCAAAGUUUAAUUUCAAGUAUUGACUUAUCUAAUGUCUCCAAGCCAUGUUCGUAGCAUCACACAAGUGAGCUUGUAAACCAUUGAAUAUUCAAACUGUGACCUAAAGUAGAACUGGCACCCUCUGGCUGGAGUAGUAGAAUAUCAAAUUAGUGUUUGUAGUAUCGCACAGCUGUUUAUGGCAUCAAUCAUGUUUGUAUAUGUCCUAUUGGUCCUAAGCAUUUCAUUGUUCAGGUUGCACUUGUCCUUUGUUUUGCUUGUCAUGAAAACUAUCCCACAGUUGCUUAUUGAAGUUAUCCUAAUAAGUCUAAUUAUUUUUAUUUACCGUGGAAACCUUCCAGAUCACAAUCUAGUUGUGUCACUACUCCUAGGUCGAUCUUAACUUCUGGGACAUAAUCAGUAACUAUGGAUGCUAUAAAAAGAGGAGCAGCUAAGAUGGGACAAAAUCAUCAAGUGUAUAUUUGCACAUUUUACACUUUUGUACAGAUAACAUCACAAUAUAUGUGUCAAAAGGUAAUCAAUCAGCCCUCUUUUUUUAACUCUGUGAUUUCCAUUGUUUGAUAAAAACAGAGAUGUUUAACCACCAUGGAAAUGAAAUGGGUUAUUUGUUUG